AGUGAACGCUGGCGGUAGGCCUAACACAUGCAAGUCGAACGGCAGCACAGUAAGAGCUUGCUCUUACGGGUGGCGAGUGGCGGACGGGUGAGGAAUACAUCGGAAUCUACUUUUUCGUGGGGGAUAACGUAGGGAAACUUACGCUAAUACCGCAUACGACCUACGGGUGAAAGCAGGGGAUCUUCGGACCUUGCGCGAUUGAAUGAGCCGAUGUCGGAUUAGCUAGUUGGCGGGGUAAAGGCCCACCAAGGCGACGAUCCGUAGCUGGUCUGAGAGGAUGAUCGGCCACACUGGCACUGUGACACGGUCCAGACUCCUACGGGAGGCCGCGGUGGGGAAUAUUGGACAAUGGGCGCAUGCCUGAUCCAGCCAUACCGCGUGGGUGCGGAAGGCCUUCGGGUUGUAAAGCCCUUUUGUUGGGAAAGAAAAGCAGCAGGUUAAUACCCCGCUGUUCUGACGGUACCCAAAGAAUAAGCACCGGCUAACUUCGUG
rnacentral:rRNA from 1 species